UUAGGGGAUACCGAAAACCUAAAAAAGAGUAGGUA
rfam:Niastella vici strain DJ57 contig16, whole genome shotgun sequence.